UUUUAUCAGAUGAAGCUGAGGAAGCUGCAGAACCUGAGAUACUGUCAAUGAAUACAGGCCUAUGGCUUUCAGUCAGGGGUGUGGUUGCUGUACUGCUCAUCGGAGGAACUGCCAUGGUCUUCAGAAUAUUUUUCAAGAGACAACUGACCCAGAAAGGAAAGAACAGGAAAUGACAAUUUUGUGCAGUUUGGUCUUCGAGAUUCAACAUUCGAGAACAAUACUUAAGUCAACAUGCAUUGAAAAAUUAUGAGAGGCCUGGCCAGGGUCUGACUGUGGAAAAGCAAGAUAUUCUGCCAUCCAAAUAAAGUACUGUAUGU